rnacentral:rRNA from 1 species
AGAGUUUGAUCAUGGCUCAGGAUGAACGCUGGCGGCGUGCCUAACACAUGCAAGUCGAACGAAGCUUGAGGAAUGAUUUCUUCGGAAUGAAUUCUGAUAUGACUUAGUGGCGGACGGGUGAGUAACACGUGAGCAACCUGCCUUUCAGAGGGGGAUAACGGCUGGAAACGGUCGCUAAUACCGCAUGAUAUGUUUGGAUGGCAUCAUUUGAACAUCAAAGAUUUAUCGCUGAAAGAUGGGCUCGCGUCUGAUUAGAUAGUUGGUGAGGUAACGGCUCACCAAGUCGACGAUCAGUAGCCGGACUGAGAGGUUGAACGGCCACAUUGGGACUGAGAUACGGCCCAGACUCCUACGGGAGGCAGCAGUGGGGAAUAUUGCACAAUGGGGGAAACCCUGAUGCAGCAACGCCGCGUGAAGGAAGACGGUUUUCGGAUUGUAAACUUCUUUUCUUUGUGAAGAAACAAAUGACGGUAGCAAAGGAAUAAGCAUCGGCUAACUACGUGCCAGCAGCCGCGGUAAUACGUAGGAUGCAAGCGUUAUCCGGAUUUACUGGGUGUAAAGGGAGCGCAGGCGGGACUUCAAGUUGGAUGUGAAAGGUCAAGGCUUAACCUUGGCACUGCAUCCAAAACUGUAGUUCUUGAGUGGAGUAGAGGUAAGCGGAAUUCCGAGUGUAGCGGUGAAAUGCGUAGAUAUUCGGAGGAACACCAGUGGCGAAGGCGGCUUACUGGGCUCUAACUGACGCUGAGGCUCGAAAGUGUGGGGAGCAAACAGGAUUAGAUACCCUGGUAGUCCACACUGUAAACGAUGAUAGCUAGGUGUGGGGGGUCUGCACCCCUUCCGUGCCGGAGUU